rnacentral:rRNA from 1 species
CCCUACGGGGGGCAGCAGUAGGGAAUCUUCCACAAUGGACGAAAGUCUGAUGGAGCAACGCCGCGUGAGUGAAGAAGGGUUUCGGCUCGUAAAGCUCUGUUGGUAGCGAAGAAAGAUAGAGGGAGUAACUGGCCUUUAUUUGACGGUAAUUACUUAGAAAGUCACGGCUAACUACGUGCCAGCAGCCGCGGUAAUACGUAGGUGGCAAGCGUUGUCCGGAUUUUUUGGGCGUAAAGCGAGUGCAGGCGGUUCAAUAAGUCUGUUUUGAAAGACUUCGCCUCAACCGGGGAAAU